UACGUAGGUGACAAGCGUUGUCCGGAUUUAUUGGGCGUAAAGGGUGCGUAGGCGGCGCGGUAAGUCGGGUGUGAAAUCUUGGAGCUUAACUCCGAAACUGCAUUCGAUACUGCCGUGCUUGAGGACUGGAGAGGAGACUGGAAUUUACGGUGUAGCGGUGAAAUGCGUAGAUAUCUGGAGGAACACCGGUGGCGAAGGCGGCAUCCUGGACCGGUAUUGACGCUGAGGCGCGAAAGCCAGGGGAGCAAACGGG
rnacentral:rRNA from 1 species